GUAGGUGGCAAGCGUUGUCCGGAAUUAUUGGGGCGUAAAGCGCGCGCAGGCGGUUCUUUAAGUCUGAUGUGAAAGCCCACGGGCUCAACCGUGGAGGGUCAUUGGAAACUGGAGAACUUGAGUACAGAAGAGGAAAGCGGAAUUCCACGUGUAGCGGUGAAAUGCGUAGAGAUGAGGAGGAACACCAGUGGCGAAGGCGGCUUUCUGGUCUGUAACUGACGCUGAGGCGCGAAAGCGUGGGGAGCAAACAGGAUUAGAUACCCUGGUAGUCCACGCCGUAAACGAUGAGUGCUAAGUGUUAGGGGGUUUCCGCCCCUUAGUGCUGCAGCUAACGCAUUAAGCACUCCGCCUGGGGAGUACGGCCGCAAAGGCUG
rnacentral:rRNA from 1 species